CCCAGACUCCUACGGGAGGCAGCAGUGGGGGAUAUUGGACAAUGGGGGGAACCCUGAUCCAGCGACGCCGCGUGAGUGAAGAAGUAUCUCGGUAUGUAAAGCUCUAUCAGCAGGGAAGAAAGAAAUGACGGUACCUGAGUAAGAAGCCCCGGCUAACUACGUGCCAGCAGCCGCGGUAAUACGUAGGGGGCAAGCGUUAUCCGGAAUUACUGGGUGUAAAGGGAGCGUAGGCGGGCUUGUAAGUUGAAUGUCUAAUCCACCGGCUCAACCGGUGAUCGCGUUCAAAACUGCAGGUCUUGAGUGAAGUAGAGGUAGGCGGAAUUCCCGGUGUAGCGGUGAAAUGCGUAGAGAUCGGGAGGAACACCAGUGGCGAAGGCGGCCUACUGGGCUUUAACUGACGCUGAGGCACGAAAGCGUGGGUAGCAAACAGGAUUAGAUACCCCUGUA
rnacentral:rRNA from 1 species